rnacentral:rRNA from 1 species
UGAGGAAUAUUGGUCAAUGGGCGCAGGCCUGAACCAGCCAAGUCGCGUGAGGGAGGACGGUCCUACGGAUUGUAAACCUCUUUUGUCGGGGAGUAACGUGCGGGACGGGUCCCGUAUUGAGAGUACCCGAAGAAAAAGCAUCGGCUAACUCCGUGCCAGCAGCCGCGGUAAUACGGAGGAUGCGAGCGUUAUCCGGAUUUAUUGGGUUUAAAGGGUGCGCAGGCGGCGCGCCAAGUCAGCGGUCAAAGUUCCGGGCUCAACCCGGUGUCGCCGUUGAAACUGGCGUGCUCGAGUGCGUGCGAGGAAGGCGGAAUGCGUUGUGUAGCGGUGAAAUGCAUAGAUAUGACGCAGAACUCCGAUUGCGAAGGCAGCUUUCCAGCGCGCUACUGACGCUGAGGCACGAAAGCGUGGGGAUCGAACA